rnacentral:rRNA from 1 species
AAAGUUGUUGCGGUUAAAAAGCUCGUAGUCGGAGGUGUGUCUCGGACGGUCGGUUCGCCGCUUGUCGGUGCUCAACUGGCCGGUCCGGACGUCCUGCCGGUGGGGUCGCAAGACCCCGUCAUCCUUCUUUGGUCCUCUUCACCGAGUGCCUUGGUGGGCCGGCACGUUUACUUUGAACAAAUUAGAGUGCUCAAAGCAGGCCGUUGGUCGCCUGAAUACUGUGUGCAUGGAAUAAUGGAAUAGGACCUCGGUUCCAUUUUGUUGGUUUUCAGAACUCGAGGUAAUGAUUAAUAGGGACGGACGGGGGCAUUCGUAUUGCGACGUUAGAGGUGAAAUUCUUGGAUCGUCGCAAGACGAACCGAUGCGAAAGCAUUUGCCAAGAACGUUUUCGUUGAUCAAGAACGAAAGUUAGAGGUUCGAAGGCGAUCAGAUACCGCCCUAGUUCUAACCAUAAACGAUGCCAGCUAGCCAUCCGCCGAAGUUCCUUCUAUGACUCGGCGGGCAGCUUCCGGGAAACCAAAGCUCUUGGGUUCCGGGGGAAGUAUGGUUGCAAAGCUCANACUUGAAGGA